rnacentral:rRNA from 1 species
GAUGAACGCUGGCGGCGUGCCUAAUACAUGCAAGUCGAGCGAACGGACGAGAAGCUUGCUUCUCUGAUGUUAGCGGCGGACGGGUGAGUAACACGUGGAUAACCUACCUAUAAGACUGGGAUAACUUCGGGAAACCGGAGCUAAUACCGGAUGAUAUUUUGAACCGCAUGGUUCAAAAGUGAAAGACGGUCUUGCUGUCACUUAUAGAUGGAUCCGCGCUGCAUUAGCUAGUUGGUAAGGUAACGGCUUACCAAGGCAACGAUGCAUAGCCGACCUGAGAGGGUGAUCGGCCACACUGGAACUGAGACACGGUCCAGACUCCUACGGGAGGCAGCAGUAGGGAAUCUUCCGCAAUGGGCGAAAGCCUGACGGAGCAACGCCGCGUGAGUGAUGAAGGUCUUCGGAUCGUAAAACUCUGUUAUUAGGGAAGAACAUAUGUGUAAGUAACUGUGCACAUCUUGACGGUACCUAAUCAGAAAGCCACGGCUAACUACGUGCCAGCAGCCGCGGUAAUACGUAGGUGGCAAGCGUUAUCCGGAAUUAUUGGGCGUAAAGCGCGCGUAGGCGGUUUUUUAAGUCUGAUGUGAAAGCCCACGGCUCAACCGUGGAGGGUCAUUGGAAACUGGAAACCUUGAGUGCAGAAGAGGAAAGUGGAAUUCCAUGUGUAGCGGUGAAAUGCGCAGAGAUAUGGAGGAACACCAGUGGCGAAGGCGACUUUCUGGUCUGUAACUGACGCUGAUGUGCGAAAGCGUGGGGAUCAAACAGGAUUAGAUACCCUGGUAGUCCACGCCGUAAACGAUGAGUGCUAAGUGUUAGGGGGUUUCCGCCCCUUAGUGCUGCAGCUAACGCAUUAAGCACUCCGCCUGGGGAGUACGACCGCAAGGUUGAAACUCAAAGGAAUUGACGGGGACCCGCACAAGCGGUGGAGCAUGUGGUUUAAUUCGAAGCAACGCGAAGAACCUUACCAAAUCUUGACAUCCUUUGACAACUCUAGAGAUAGAGCCUUCCCCUUCGGGGGACAAAGUGACAGGUGGUGCAUGGUUGUCGUCAGCUCGUGUCGUGAGAUGUUGGGUUAAGUCCCGCAACGAGCGCAACCCUUAAGCUUAGUUGCCAUCAUUAAGUUGGGCACUCUAAGUUGACUGCCGGUGACAAACCGGAGGAAGGUGGGGAUGACGUCAAAUCAUCAUGCCCCUUAUGAUUUGGGCUACACACGUGCUACAAUGGACAAUACAAAGGGCAGCGAAACCGCGAGGUCAAGCAAAUCCCAUAAAGUUGUUCUCAGUUCGGAUUGUAGUCUGCAACUCGACUACAUGAAGCUGGAAUCGCUAGUAAUCGUAGAUCAGCAUGCUACGGUGAAUACGUUCCCGGGUCU